AUUAUACAAUAUAGUGUAUAUAAAAGAAAAAAAGUAAAGGUUUAUUACCUAAACCAAGAAUGUGGAUAAUUGGCAAGUUUAUUUAAAAUGUUAGGACAAACUACAAACUAUACCAUUUGAAAAAUAAACUAAUUAUUCUAAUUUUAUGUGAAAGGGGUUACAUUAAUAUAACUGUUGUCCUUGAGUAAGAUUUUAAUGUAUUUGUUUAUGAUUAAAAGAGGAAAUUGGGGAGGGCUGACAUGUAAAUUGAAAUAAAUUAACCUUAUGAAUAGGUUGGGAAUAUGACACUUCAAUUUGUAGUUUAAUCUUCAAUCAUAUAAUCAAGUACCUAAUCUAAUGCAAGAAUUCUCAUAAAAUUCUCAUAAAAUGGAUUGUGCAGAUGUCACCCAUAUACCUGAAUUGGUGUGAAUUAGGAUUCUGCGGAAUUAUUAAAGUCUAAAGUGUAUUAUUCUAAUUAUUAUGAAUUAAGGUACCUUUAUUCAUAUUGCAAGGGGUAUACCAAUUAAC